UGAUGUAUGAUGGACAGUAUGAAAGAUAGUAUGAAGUAGUAAAUGCAAAUACGCAAACGUAUAUUGCGCGGAUUUUAUUCUGAGGAACAAAAUCCUUUUCCGGCGCGAGGGGGUAAUGUAACGUUGCACGUACAUGUUUUAAUUAUAAGCUUUAAUUUUAUUAUUUUUACAAUUUUAAUUAUACAAAUUUUAAUAAAAUAACUAAUUUAUAAAUUAAUUUUAAUUAUAGUUGCAUGAAUUAUUUUAAUCAAUUAUUAUUUUUAUUAUUUAUUUUAAUCAACUAACUAUUUAUUUUUACAAAUUUAACAAUCAAUUUUAUAUUUACAUUAAUUAUCUUAUUCUACUUUUCUAUUUUAAAGUACGACUAAGAAUAAAAUAAAAUAAUUAUGUUUUAAAAAACCUCUGUAAUAGACAUCGCAAGGUUAAUCCGACCGUCCAUGCGCUAUUCGUAUCAACUGUACUACGACCGGUCUGAGCUGACGUCACGGAAUAAUCUGGAACUGGCGCGAGCGCUGCCCCGCCGCGCCGCCCAGUCAUCAGUCCGCGCCAGCCGCCAAACGUUACGCACGUACGUACCGUCGCGCACACGGGCCAGCCCGUGUCGUCUCGCGCGCUGUACAAAUUAUAAUUUUAAUUAUUUUCUGGUGGGCGCGGACACCUGCAAAUUUAUUUAAUUUAAAUAUAUUCGGCGACGUAAUCGCGAAAUAACGAGUUCCCGCACCCACGUACUGGGUGCGCCGUUAUUUUUAAAAAAGAAGACCGUUCGGCCGACGUGUCACACCGUCACCAGCAUCCACACACAACAUCCAGACGGCUGGGUUGGAGCCUGAGUCGUUCGCCCGCCGUCGCCCCUGCUCCUCUUCAGCGCUGGUCCCCACACCUGCUGCGGACCACCGUCAUAACCACCAGCCAGGGCAGUACCGCUCCGCGGUGGCAAAUUUUAGACCCGGGCCUUGACCACCCACGACCCUAUUUCAAAUUUUAGUUUUUAUUUAAUAAAUUAUUUUUGUUAACGUA